CUGGGCGACGGCGAGUGAUCAGCGAUCGUAGGGCGCGGAUCAGACCCUCCUGUAGCUGCUCUACAGCCCACAUGUCUGAGAUGCCAGAACGGUCUGAGGAGCAAAAAGAAUGUCAGUAGACCAGCACCACAGCCAUGAAGAGGGCCAUUUCAUCAGGCUCUAGCCCCAGAGAGCCCAACUUCUCACUGAAUUCAAACAUUGCAUCCAGCAGAGAGCCCAUGCCCAAGGCCCGCAGCGUGGACAGGGGGGGGGAGACGUUAACAGCAGAGUCACGUUCCAGCUGAAACGCCACCCUAAGCGGAUGUGUGCCCUGAACCGAUGAUUCAGGGACAGAUGUUGCACAGUCAAAAAAAAUCGAGUCAGCCUCUAACACACUGCGAGCUCUGUGAUUCAAGUUAGAGAGAGAGAGGAAAAAAACAACCUUUCAAUGCAAGCUGCGGAUGCAUGAGGCGGGGAAACGUGACUAGAGAGAGAGAAAGUUAAUGCAUGGAAUCGCUGACCCACUGACCAAGCUCUCCCUCACCAUCACCGCGGGCGGCAUCAACACAGAAGCUUCCGUGAGAGCAGCGGAGCGGCGGGAGGGAGGAGAGGAGGGCCCGGCUAUCUCACGCGGUGCACGCGGCUCUGCAAGGGAAGCCACGUGAGGAGGCUUUUUGAUGGAGCUUUCGCUGGGAAGACAUGAAGCUGCUCUCCAGCCAGCAGCCAGAGCUCCUACAGCCCGCCAGGGGCUUACAAUUAAAGAGCCAAAUUAAAUAGAGCAGCAUGUUAUGCGGAGGGGUGGUCUGACUGUGCACCACCAGCAGCAGCAGCAGCAGCAGCAGCAGUAACAGUAACAGUGCCCCCACUGUCAGCCAGCCGCUGCAUCUAGUUCAGAACCAGUGGGGUGAAGUCUAUGUGUCAGUGUGUGACCGGAGCCUUGAGGUUUGGAUAAAUUGUUCUCAUUGUAAAACCUCAUUAACACUCAAUGCCUUAAUUGUGGUGCAUCAAAGCUCAGGAGCCAAUUUUUAGGACUGUAGUUUAACGUUUAAAAUAAUGAUAGUAAUAAUAAUAAUACUGACAGGGAAUAACUAGUUAAACUGUAACACAAGUCAUUUGUCCCUCUAAUCUGCUUCCAUUCAUUAUGUGAGUAAUGUCAGCAUUAUUAUUAGGUGUGUCCUGCUUGUUCUCCAAAAAAAAAGUAAGGCAAGACUACUCUUAUGAUACAUUUUCCAUUGCCUAUCUAUCUAUCUAUCUAUCUAUCUAUCUAUCUAUCUAUCUAUCUAUCUAUCUAUCUAUCUAUCUAUCUAUCUAUCUAUCUAUCUAUCUAUCUAUCCAUUCUGUUAUUGUUUAGCUGAUCAGAAGGUGGUUGUUAUUAAAUUCAGAUGGUUAUUUAGUUUAUUUUAGUGAUAUCCAAUCAUUUUUAUUAAUAAGUGGUUGUGUCCAUACUAAAUAAUUAUGAAAUUUGUAAAGACAUGA